rnacentral:tRNA from 1 species
UUAGAGAGAUAGGUUUCGAACCCAUAUUUAAGAAAUCAAAAUCCUUCGUAAUCCAUUUGUGCACUA